rnacentral:rRNA from 1 species
AUUGAACGCUGGCGGCAGGCUUAACACAUGCAAGUCGAGCGGAGUGAUGGUGCUUGCACUAUCACUUAGCGGCGGACGGGUGAGUAAUGCUUAGGAAUUUGCCUAUUAGUGGGGGACAACAUCUCGAAAGGGAUGCUAAUACCGCAUACGUCCUACGGGAGAAAGCAGGGGAUCACUUGUGACCUUGCGCUAAUAGAUGAGCCUAAGUCGGAUUAGCUAGUUGGUGGGGUAAAGGCCUACCAAGGCGACGAUCUGUAGCGGGUCUGAGAGGAUGAUCCGCCACACUGGGACUGAGGCACGGCCCAGACUCCUACGGGAGGCAGCAGUGGGGAAUAUUGGACAAUGGGGGGAACCCUGAUCCAGCCAUGCCGCGUGUGUGAAGAAGGCCUUAUGGUUGUAAAGCACUUUAAGCGAGGAGGAGGCUCUUUUGGUUAAUACCCAAGAUGAGUGGACGUUACUCGCAGAAUAAGCACCGGCUAACUCUGUGCCAGCCGCCGCGGUAA